rnacentral:rRNA from 1 species
AACAGAGGGUGCAAACGUUGUUCGGAAUUACUGGGCGUAAAGCGUGCGUAGGUGGUUCGUUAAGUCUGAUGUGAAAGCCCUGGGCUCAACCUGGGAAUGGCAUUGGAAACUGGCGACCUAGAGUGCGGUAGAGGGUAGUGGAAUUCCCGGUGUAGCAGUGAAAUGCGUAGAGAUCGGGAGGAACAUCCGUGGCGAAGGCGACUACCUGGACCAGCACUGACACUGAGGCACGAAAGCGUGGGGAGCAAACAGG